UUUCUUAGCUCUUCGUCUGCAUGAUUCUUCCUUCCUCUUUUUUUUUUUUUUUUUUUUUUUUUUUUUUUCUUAGCUCUUCGUCUGCAUGAUUCUUCCUUCCUCUUUUUUUUUUUUUUUUUUCUUAGCUCUUCGUCUGCAUGAUUCUUCCUCUCUUUUUUUUUUUUUUUUUUUUUUUCUUAGCUCUUCGUCUGCAUGAUUCUUCCUCUCUUUUUUUUUUUUUCUUAGCUCUUCGUCUGCAUGAUUCUCAUCAAACGAAGAUAGAUGGGAAAUCCAAAAGGGAGGAAUGGGUCAGAUCGGUGCUUGAUCUCUGCCUUCACCGCUGCCUGUCUUCCUCUCCACCGUUGCUUGAUCUCUUCCUCACUGCCAACGACAUGCGGCGGAAAUGGAGGAGCGGAGAAGAGAAAAGGGCAAAGUUUAUUGGUGA